AGCCUCAGAGUGGCACCUGGAGGGUUUUCAGUACUCUACCAGUCUUGACUACGCGAGGGAAAGUCAAGCAGAGGCAUAUCCAUUCCAUUCCUAGCUUGGACAACGGCUAGUGAGUGGAAGGCAAUCUGCUACAAGU